rnacentral:rRNA from 1 species
UACGUAGGGUGCAAGCGUUUGUCCGGAAUUAUUGGGCGUAAAGAGCUCGUAGGCGGUCUGUCGCGUCUGCUGUGAAAACUCGGGCUUAACCCCGGGCCUGCAGUGGGUACGGGCAGACUAGAGUGCGGUAGGGGAGACUGGAAUUCCUGGUGUAGCGGUGAAAUGCGCAGAUAUCAGGAGGAACACCGGUGGCGAAGGCGGGUCUCUGGGCCGUAACUGACGCUGAGGAGCGAAAGCGUGGGGAGCGAACAGG